UACGUAGGUGGCAAGCGUUGUCCGGAUUUACUGGGCGUAAAGGGAGCGUAGGUGGAUAUUUAAGUGGGAUGUGAAAUACUCGGGCUUAACCUGAGUGCUGCAUUCCAAACUGGAUAUCUAGAGUGCAGGAGAGGAAAGUAGAAUUCCUAGUGUAGCGGUGAAAUGCGUAGAGAUUAGGAAGAAUACCAGUGGCGAAGGCGACUUUCUGGACUGUAACUGACACUGAGGCUCGAAAGCGUGGGGAGCGAACAGG
rnacentral:rRNA from 1 species